CAGUAGCCACGGGAAUACAGAGGAUGCAAGCGUUAUCCGGAAUGAUUGGGCGUAAAGCGUGCGCAGGCGGUUUUGUAAGACAGGCGUGAAAUCCCCGGGCUCAACCUGGGAAUGGCGCUUGUGACUGCAAAGCUAGAGUGCGGCAGAGGGGGAUGGAAUUCCGCGUGUAGCAGUGAAAUGCGUAGAUAUGCGGAGGAACACCGAUGGCGAAGGCGACUCUCUGGUCUGUAACUGACGCUGAGGAGCGAAAGCGUGGGGAGCGAACAGGAUUAGAUACCCGUGUAGUCCCUGUCUCUUAUAC
rnacentral:rRNA from 1 species